UAGGGAAUCUUCCACAAUGGACGCAAGUCUGAUGGAGCAACGCCGCGUGAGUGAAGAAGGUUUUCGGAUCGUAAAGCUCUGUUGUUGGUGAAGAAGUAUAGAGGCAGUAACUGGUCUUUAUUUGACGGUAAUCAACCAGAAAGUACCGGCUAACUACGUGCCAGCAGCCGCGGUAAUACGUAGGUGGCAAGCGUUGUCCGGAUUUAUUGGGCGUAAAGCGAGCGCAGGCGGAAUGAUAAGUCUGAUGUGAAAGCCCACGGCUCAACCGUGGAGCUGCAUCGGAAACUGUCAUUCUUGAGUGCAGAAGAGGAGAGUGGAAUUCCAUGUGUAGCGGUGGAAUGCGUAGAUAUAUGGAAGAACACCAGUGGCGAAGGCGGCUCUCUGGUCUGCAACUGACGCUGAGGCUCGAAAGCAUGGGUAGCGAACAGG
rnacentral:rRNA from 1 species